rnacentral:rRNA from 1 species
UACGUAGGUGGCGAGCGUUGUCCGGGUUUACUGGGUGUAAAGGGCGUGUAGGCGGGGAUUCAAGUCAGAUGUGAAAUUCCGGGGCUCAACCCCGGCGCUGCAUCUGAAACUGUAUCUCUUGAGUGCUGGAGAGGAAAGCGGAAUUCCUAGUGUAGCGGUGAAAUGCGUAGAUAUUAGGAGGAACACCAGUGGCGAAGGCGGCUUUCUGGACAGUAACUGACGCUGAGGCGCGAAAGCGUGGGGAGCAAACAGG